ACCUAAGAGAUUUGGCGGUACUCGUUACUUGUUAGAGAAAUUUGCUAUAAGAGAUCGAUAAUCCCCGAAGUAUCUUACUUCUACUUGAAAAUCAGUUUGUAUACCGUCAUAGAUGUUAUUUUUAAAAAAUAUGAAUUAUUUAAUUAAUUUUGUUGAAUAAGAAAUUAGAUCAAGGUGCAGCUAAUGUGGAAGGUUAAAGUGAAUUGCAGUAUAGUAUUAUAGAUGUGUGGAGAAGUUAUUGCAUAAUAUCUUUGAAAGUGGAUUUAAUAGUAAUAAUAUUUUAAUAAGUUAUUUUGAUUUUAGUUCUGGAGUAUGU
rnacentral:rRNA from 1 species